CCGCCCCAGCCUGGAGCUCUGCACUGUAGCCACUGGACUCCCCACAUGGUCGCCAGAUGCCACUGCAGCAGGAUUCCUGUUACCCCAGCAAGAUGAAAAUGCUCACCACAGGAUGCCUCUGUGUCCUCAGCCCCGCUUCCCGACUCCACUGGUGCCACCGCCACAGUCCAGCAACCAAACUCUCAAACCCCAGCUGGACUAUGGUGCUGCCCACCAAGGGUCCAAGGUCAAUGCCCUUCACCCCCCGCCAUGAUGCCUGACUCCAGUGCCCCAUGCCGGCUCCUAGAUGAAGCUGCAUGUUGCUGCCGCCACCACCAGACUCCAUCAUGGACGCAAGACAGCGAUACUCAGCACUGGAUGCCCACUUCACCUACUGCAGCCAGACUCCUGUGGCACUGCAGGACAGAAAUGAUCCUGGCAACAUCCCCUCUGUUGUCACCACAGCUGCUUCUGGACUCUUCUGCUGCCACCGCCACUGUGAGUAUGCAGCAAGGGAUCUCCCAAACUGAAGCUGGAUGCCAACACCUCAGCUGUUGCCACCCCACGCCAACUCUCAACUCUCGACCUCCCUCACAUGAUGCCCUAUGCCUGAAGCAGCUACAUGUUGCUGGUGUUGCCACCAGAUGCUAUCACUCCAUGAUGCCUCUCCAGCGACUCCAUCCCAAAGAUGCUGCUGUGCUGCCCAAGACCACAGAAGCUGGGAAGUUGGGCAGUCUCCAUCCUAGUCACCUCAUCAGUGCCCACUGCUUGCUGCCUGCCUUUCCUCCCCCAGGACCACCCACCAGUCCUUCUGGGCCCUUGAGCAAGAGUUGUGCUAACUCAGGGAAUUCAUCCAAGGAAAACAACUGACCAUCAGGCAGAAGGAAACACCAGAGAAGCUUGAGGAUCAGAAGGACACCAGCCCUGCUCUGGUCACUCUGGAAGCUG
rnacentral:lncRNA from 1 species